rnacentral:lncRNA from 1 species
CAGUGGUAGUGUUGAAAAGAGCUGAGGUAAGGGUGUGUGCAGUGUCAUAAGGAGUUAAUAAUACAGAGGAAAUAGUUUUAGAGAGGCAUUAUCUUUUAGCUGGCCAUUAAGGGUAACAGAAGUUCAAUCACAGUUGGUGAGAGCUGCCUUUAGGUUACAUGGGAGCAGCAAGGAGGAUACUUGUAUGGAUGGGAUCUACCACAAUUUGAGCAGCCUCUAGUUUUGGUAAGAUCUGCCACACUAUCU